rnacentral:lncRNA from 1 species
AUUCUUCCCAACAACUGCCUUGCAAGAGUUUUUUAAAUCCAAAAUUGCUUAUCUCCCUCAGAUUCUUAUUUUCUACUCUCUGCAAGAGUGUCACUAGGGAAUCUCUUUUACUGCUAAUUUUAUGUGAUAAGAGGAAGCUGAAAGUUAUCUUGGCCUAGAUGCAUGCCUAUGCCUUAGAGACACAGUCUCUAUCAUUACCAUCUGAGUCAUUGUCAGUAAUUAUCCAUUUCAUCAGCAUAGAUCUGUUCUGUUACUUUAUGGAUUUUUAUUUUUUUUUAAACUUUGUUUAUGACAAGAGCUUUGUCUGUUUCUUUCCAGAUGUCCUUCUGCUAUUAACAAGAUGUUACUUAAAACUUCUUUCUUAUCUGUCAAUUGUUGACCUCUCUCAAGCAACAUUUAUUUACUACAUGCUAGUUUUGUAUGGGCUUUUUGUCAGUAUGAAGUACAGCAUAAAAAGUUCCAAGCUCUUCUGUGUUGCUGUGGGCCAUUCCCGUUUAUCCAUCCACAUGAACUACAGAACAUUGACUAUACUGAAUAAACAGCAACGAUCUGGAUGAAAAAACAAAACGGUCUUUCAAAUUCCUGAUUUUCUUUUAUGCUGCCAGUGCAGUGACUGCUGAAAAGGCAAAGGAAAUUAGGUUGAGUGUUCAGUCAGGAGUGAGCAAGACCCGCAGUUGUGUCAUUUAAAUGCAAAGGGUGUUGGUGGGAGCUUAGCAUGAAUUCAGUAAGGAAGGAGAGGCUGCAGAGCACCUCCUGUCACUGCAGUCAGUCUAAAAAUGUGCUUAUACAAGGGGUGGGAAAGGUUUGGUUGCCAACUUGUUCUGCUUCUGUUAACACCACAAUGAAGGUGAUUUCAUUGUGGUGAAUAAUCAACCAUGGGUGAUUAUUCUUUCCAGAUUUUGUUUUACAUUUAAUACAUAUGUAUACAAGCACACUGUGAAAGUUUUGCCUCUAUAUUUUAUUGUCAGGUGAACGUAUCUAUGACAGUCAUCUUUUCAAAUUUAUGUAGCAUUCCAAAAACACCUUCUCCCUCUAUCCCCAUAAAUUUGAGGAUAGGAGAGCUUAAUUAAAUUUACAUUUAUAUAUUUCUUUUCUUUUAUUACUUUGGAAUCAUGCUUUAUAGAUGUCCUGGUUUCAGUUAGGACAGAGUUAAUUUUCUUCCUAGUAGCUGGUGGAAUGCUAUGUUUUGGCUUAGGAUGAGAAGAGUGCUGAUAACACCCCGAUGUUUUAAUUGUUGCAGAGCAGUGCUUACACCAAGCCAAGGAUGUCUCAGUUUCUUGCUCUGUCCUGCCAACGGGCAUGCUGGGGGUGCAGCAAGAGCUGGGAGGGGACAGACCCAGGACAGGUGACCCAAACUAGCCAAAGGGGUAUUCCAUACCAUCUGACGUCAUGCUAAACAAUAUAUAGGGGUGGCUAGCCGGGGGGAGGGGGCCAGACUGCUCGGGGUUAGGCUGGGCAUCGGUCAGCGGGUGGUGAGCAAUUGCAUUGUGCAUCACUUGUUUGUACACAUUAUUAGUAGUAGUACUAUUAUCAUCAUUAUUGUUAUUAUUAUUAUUGUUAUUAUUAUUAUUUUCCUGUCUUAAUAAACUGUCUUUAUCUCAACUCA